UCCAAUUCCCUGAAAUCUCUAGAAUCUAUCCUUAAAUCCCAAAUGUAAACCGAUAUCUAGAGCCCUAAACAGAAAUUAUAUUCUCAAAUUAGGUAUGUGUUUGAAUCCUAAAUUCUUUUGGGUGGUACAUGCAACUAGCGAGAAUGAUUAUUUCUUCAAUUUCACCUUUAAUUUCUCUAGCCCAUUUGAAAAUAUACAGGAAUCGAGGUAUUUUUUCUUGAUAGCCAUCGCCUAAAGCCCUUUCUCAGUGUCGACUGCUCUUUCGCUGGGUAAGUUAAAAACUUCUUUCCCAAAAUAAGGCUCAAUCAUAUACCCCAAAUAAGGCUCCUCUUCUCUCACUUUGAACACAGACGAGAAAGUUCCCAAACCCAGGUGCUCUCCCCAAAUCCCUAAAUCCAACACAAGUGACUUUUGCUAUGUAAGUUUUUUGACGCCUUUUUUGUAAAUCUUUUUCUACUAUCCUUGAUUGUGUUAAAAUUUGGUUCUUCAAUUAAAUUCGUUUUGGUUUUAUCCAUCACAAAGCGGGAGGGCUUUGUGAUUGACAAUCUGAACAGAAUCUAGAGCACCUUCUGCAGACUUAUAGUUGUCAAUGAAAUUUUUUUAAAGAAACAAUUGGGGCUGAAAAACCAUAAAGCUUGUUCUGGAUCUGUCUCGCAAGUUUCAGUGUCUUCUUUCAUCUAUUUGGGAUCUACAAAAGCAGAAUAGAAAAGUAAAGUUGUACAUGGAGCACGUUUUUCGGGAAAUUUGGUCGAUAUAUCUGCUUCGAUUGCUUUUGCAGUACAUCGGAUUCUUUAGUUUCCUGUUUGGUGUGUCCUUAUUUUUUCAAUUUUGUGGAAGCUGACUGGAAAAGUUAUGUUAUUGAUUAAUGUAUGCUUAUUUAUUCAUGACUGCCUUGACUAAGUACAACGAGAAAGAUUAAGGGGAAUGACCCUCUUUCUUGAUCCUUGUAAUAAGGUGACAUUUUUUAUUCUUGCAAAUGGAAAAGGUACAGAAAUCUCGUGCUUAAUUUUCUAAUCCCACUAUAUUGAUCAUUCAUUUCUUUGCAUUUUAAAUAUUCUAUCUCUUGAGUGAUUAAUUAACCCAAAAAAUACAAACUUCCCUUGCUUGCAUAAAAAGUUGAGACUUAUCUAAAACCUUCUCUCUGAUGACUUUCUUCAACCUUUUUUUUUGCGGUUAUCAUCAAUCGAAUUGUUAGUUUAUGUCCUUAAAUUAGUAAUAGGAUAUAUGAAGUUGGAAUUUGGCACUCAAAGAUAGUGCAGGGAAGCGCAGCCUGUUGUAAUGACUGAGUGCAGUUAAAUUUUGACCAGGAACUUGCUCCACCCAACAUCAAUAGAGACAUUAAUGUUGAUCUUUAAUUGCUUUAUGGUAUUUUACCAAGUUUGAUCGACAUGGAUGCUUUCUGUUAAUUCUGUUUCAUGGCAUAGUGGAAGUGUGAGAUAUUUUGUCAAAUUUGCUAGGUCUAGUUUAGAGCCAUCUGAUAAUUAUGAUGUAUUGAAUGUUGAAAUUUUGCUUAGUCAUUGUUUUCCUUAUAUUAUUUGUUAGUGUAUUGUUGUUGCUUUUUUGAUGUAUUUUUCUAGUUUUAUUAUUUUGAUUCCUUACCCUAAUAAAGCACAUACCUUGUCUUUAGCUAUAUAGAACUUAGUUGCAGAGAGGACAGAGGCGGAGGAAAUUUCCGUUAGUGUUUCUAGUUUCAUAUCUUCCCUGAAGUAAUCACCUACUAACAACAAAUCAUGUUUCAUUUGCAAUGCCUUCUAGCUCUCUUACUCGUUGCUUUUGCUUUUCAGUAUUUUUAUUUUUAUUUUUUGAGCUAAAGAUGGUUAGUCCAUUCUCUACCCCAGGGUAGGGCUAAGUACACAAUACCCUACUUGUGGUAUUGUACUGGGUUGUUGUUGUCGAAAGAUGGUUAGCCCUUUCAAGUUUAUCAAUCUUCAAUUAAAUACUUUUUUUGCAGAUCAUUAUGGAAAAA
rnacentral:lncRNA from 1 species